GCCCAGGUGAGGGUGAUGGGAGCCGGAGCUGCAGCCUGGGGAGCAAAAGGUGACACGCAGCGAGUCAGAUGUACACUAUUGAGGCUGCAUCUGCCCUGGCUGUGGAACCAUGUGACUUGCUCAUGAAAACAGAAAAGAGACGUGAGGAGCAGGUGUUUGGAUGCUACAGUGAUGAAGAUGAGGGCUUCUAGGUAUUUGGACACCAAGACCUGCCCAACAAGGUUUCACACCAUCACACAGCCAACCAGUUUUGAAAGCUGAUUAAACAGCAGUCAUCAGGGGAAUCAUUUAAAAGGACCAUGCUCCCAGAACUCUUCUUCUAAGUGUCAAGAAAAAAAUAAUUGAGGACAAGAGGAACAUCAGGCUGAAUAAACCGUGCUAGGAUGCCCACUGAUCCUAGCUGAUAUGAAACAAUAAGCCUCUAGCCCAAGUGACAGAGCUUCUGCCAUUCAAUGAAGUCUUGCAGCUGAAUAAGUGACUGUCGUGAAGCCAAUAUCUGUGAUGAACUUUAGCCUUCAGGGCCAUUGGAUGACACGGAGGCCAGAAUAAAAACAGCACCUUUAGUUGUCGCCACCAUUUUCAUUUUCAUGUACUGGUCAAACUAACAUACUCCUCCUCUGCCCCUCAUAAUCUGCACAUUUUUGGAAGUGAUUUACAUCAGGUUCUUCAGUGUUGCCUAGUAUACCAGGAAUAUGGGAUAGCCCUUGCUACUCUGCUGAAGACCAGGACGCAGCCAUAUUCUACUGUAGCACAAAGACUAUAGGCAGAUGCCAGCAGUGAAGGACAGAAGAAAAUUAACUGUAUCAAUUAUAAUGAAAUAAAAUGAACAAACAUCUUUAAAACAUCUGUGCAAAUAGAAACAGGACUGAGACCACAGACUCACUUCACAUAAGCUGUGGAACAGCAAAUAGAUAGUAGUGACCUGGAACUAUUUGAGCUGAUAAUGUAGAACUAAUUACAAAUGCUCUAAGCCAACCAGUCACUCAUAGGUGGAAGUUGAAUACACUUGGGUCUUCCUGGAGAUUUCAAAUCUGGUGAAAACAAGUGAAAUGUGUUUAGAAGUCUCUCUUGUCUCACAAAUAUCUUUUACUAUCAAAAGCCAUCAUCCAAUUUGGCAGUAUCAUACAACAAACAAGCUGAAGGUAGAUGAAGAGCAGGAGUGUCGCACCUUUUGAAAACAGUGUGGUGGCACAGUUGUGUGUGUGUGUGUGCACGCGUGCACCCACAAGACUACAAAAUUCCUGUUUAAGACUAUGACUACUUGUACCUACAAUUAUCAUUCUCUCCCCUUGUAAAAAUUCGGUUCCAAUAUUUAGCUAGAAAUGUAGCUGAAUAACAAAAAAUCCACUAUUUUGCACUUGGAACAUGUACUCAAAAGUAAUAAAAAUGGUAGAGUCAUGAGAAAUAAAUAGAUACAGGAACUAAAUAAAAAUUAUAGGGAAGAUGUGACAUUUGGCAUUAAACAAUUGUCAACCCAAUAUUCUUUACUAUGGCUCCAGCAUUUUGCUGGCAUUAUGUCUAUAACACACAUUUGGACUUUCAUUUAGAGCAUACAAGCUACAAAGUAUUUACAUGGAACUUUUAAUAGAGAUUACAAAUAUAAUUUCUUCAUGAAAAAACACUGUACUCCAAUAUACUGUAUAGCGCAUGCAUGAAAUUCUAAGAAAUACAGCAACCUAUGAUAUAGAUUCUCAACCUGUACAUCAUAACCCCUGGGAGAGAAGGAUGUUGUGACUAGCCUCCAUUUCUUUCUGGCUAAGCAGGGGUGGGGAAAGGAUUGAAUCUUUUAUAAGACUGGGUCAUAGGUAUGGAAAAAUGUUGCAAAUGGAAUUGUUGGCCCUUACUCAGUACACCAUGUAAGUGCCUACAGUUAUGCACAUGUUUAAGUGCUUUCCUGAACUGGGGCUCUGAGGAUGGUGGAUUUGCAACAAUAGUAGAGCCCAUUCUAGUGGUCAAGCAUUACAAAAAUUAGAUAGGUCUAAAUCCAGGACAGCAAAGUCUCAUUACCUGCCUGAAAGAUGAGAAUGGCCCCCAGGUGAUGGGGAAGAGAUUUGCCUGCAUAUGAUUCUCUGGUACUAAAAUGAAGUGAAUGUUCCUGCACUGACAGAAAAUGCACCCAGCGAAGGAAUAAAAAUACCUUCUGUUACAGAAAUGACAAUCACGUCUUUCCUUUCAUUUCUGAGAAACAUCAUUGGUAAUCCAUUCAUGCCUCCAGUGUUUGUAAGGGAUAAUAUUCUCCUGUUAGUGCAGAGAUGCUCAAUUAAGCAAUCAGCCAGGGCAGGGUAUAGUUAAUGAUAGCCCUAGGUUGCUCUGAAGCAAUGGGAAUACUGGGGGUGAUUUAUUUUAGUUAUUUCUGAUUAAAGAUGAUGACAAUUACUUUUUACAUGCUGCAAUAGUUUCAGCUGAAUUUAGUUGUUGGCACGGUUCUGUUGUUACAUCCACUGCCCCGGGUGAUGUCAGCCCCCCUGGAGAUCCAGAGCUGGUUUCCCUGCCAGUGCAGCUAACUACUACUCCAACCACCCACCACCAGAGCCCCAGGUUAAAUCAGUCAUGAAAGGGAGAGGUCCCAAAGCACUUGAUAAGGAUGUCUUCACUGCAGAGUUAACUUGAACUAUAACGUAAGUAUUGCCCCUAGCUCAAGUCCUGUCCAUACACAAAAACCCUUAACUUGAGUGUGGUGGUGCUUUUAACUCAAGUUAAGGGGCCCACAGGCUGGUACAGACUACAGGUUCACUUGCACAACUUGUCAGCUGCUAACACAAUCGCACUGUAGUUCAUGUGUUUCGCAGUGUGGCUGCUCUCACUCGAGGCAGCCUAACUUGAAAGGAGUUAACUUGAGUUAACUGCAGCAAAGACAGAACCUUAGAUGGUGCUUUUUGAUUAUCAUUAUUAUUAUUCAAGUAAUGUUACCCACAGUUUAAUUGUGGCAAAAUGCUUGCAUUUCUUUUGUGUGUAUUUUCUGCUGUGAAAGGUUCAUAAGCCAUCUUCCACUUCCUAGGGAAGGUAAAUGGAAUAAUUGAGUAGAGAUAAUGACAUUUACCCCAUGGAAAAUUAUUGUGUGUAAAUUGUAGCUUGAAUAUCUCCUUAAGUGGAGGAUUAAUAGAUUGUAUGUUCAGAGAGGUGGUUUGAAUGUUUGUUUGUUAUAAAGACUCCAAAAUGGAGACAAGAGCAAAAUAAAAUCAUUAGCAUCUUUAAGGCAUCGGUCAGGUGCAGCAAGUGGGAGUAUUCUCCCAUGGGAGCUCCCAAUUCUUUCCAUCUCUUCAGGAGGUUCUGCAGCCAGAAACUUAAUAAAAUAUAGCUUUAGUGGCAUUUAAAAAACAGAAAAAAGGUUUUAUUCCAUGUUAUGAACAUUUGUUCUUCAAGGAUGAAAUCCUGAUCCCACUCAAGUCAACAGAAGUUUGGACAUAGACUACAGUGUGGCCAAGAUUUCAUCCCGGAUCUCUAAGUUAGAGAUAAAUUUAGUAGAGCUACAGGGGAUUCUGUGGUUAAUGAACGUACUGUAAUACGCAAUCCAAUGUUAAUUAUGUUCAGUAUUUUCCUACUAUAAUUCAGCCAGAAAUGAAGAUGUUCUAGGCGAUUUAGAAUUGACUGAAAGCGUAUGUCCUCUUACGUAUGAUGGCUGGCCAGUAGAGAUCUGGGGGAACAAUGAGGCUUAUUAAUUUUUUCUUAGAUGUGUGUUGCUGUUGGGGUUGCAUUGUCAGUGAGCAAUUGCCAGCCUCUGUUUAUCAUUAAUUGUACCUUUAAGAGUGUAAAGGGUUCUCUUUUACAUAUUUCUUAUAAAUAUAAAUAAAAUAUAUACACAGAACAGAACAUUUUUGGUCUUUUGCACUGAUAAGGGACUUGAUCCUUCUCAUGUUGAAAUCAAUAGCAAACUCCCAACAUAUUCAAUGGGAUUUGAAUCAGGUCUCAAAGGCCCUACGUGGCCUAGAAUUUCUUAUAAUUAGAGCUCCAAUACAUAACUUCUUAAAGGUCUUGUUUUAUUAUUCAUUCCUGGAUUUAAAACUUUCAAAAGUUGGAAGAAUGUGAUUGAUGUUUUUACUGCUAAACUGACAGUGGAUCAGCAAUGUGGAGGUCCUUAUAAAUAAUUACCACAUUUGAAUAUGAGUUUACAAUUAUAUCAACUAAAAGAGAUUAUAUAUGCAAACUCUCUUGAACAGUAAUGAAAGAUUAGCACCCAGACCCUUCAGCUGAGGCUGAAAUGAACACCAUAUGGAUCUGGGGGGUUGUUCAAAACUUGCUUAAGGCUCACCUUCAGACUCCUCUGAUCCUGCUCUGUUCAUCUGUCUGGACUGUGUUGAUCUAACUUACACUGGGGUGCAGUGGAAGCAGGGGCAACCUACAGUCUAGGAUUGGCAUAGCUCAGGGAUAUCCUGGUCACAUCCCUUUUCCAUUCUAUGCCAGCAGCAGGGAGGCAUAAUAAUGCAGGGGCCCCUAGAUCAUCUCUAAAUCACUAGAGGAUACCCUUUACACUAGGAUGAUCCUCUCUGGGCUUGUUAAAUUGGCUUUAAAGGUCAGAUUAUGCCAAGCAAUGUGGCACAAAGCUGCCACACUGCAUGAAGAAAUCUGGCCCUGUAUUUGUACAUUACAAAAGGGACAGAUUUUAGAGUAAAAACACAGAUAAUAAUCCAUGAUGCCGUCAACACUGUACAGUCUGUUAAAUUCAGCCUGGAGUCUAUUUCCAAGCAAGUGUGGAUAUAAAAACCCUUUUUUAUCAUCAUUAUUGGUGGACCUUGUGACAGAGUGCUGAGAUCUGACAGGUCAGCACUCUGAUCACUGUAGCCUCAAUUAGUGUCUUUCCUCCCCUCUCCCCCCCUGACCAACCUGAUAAAAACCCAGGAAGGAAGGGUUACAAGAGAGAGGAAGACAGGGCUAGCUGAGCCUGGAAUGAAGGAGCUCCCUAGAGAGGGAGACCUCCUUUUCUCCUAGGACCCUGGCAAAGAAAGGCUGAAAGAAGUGAAGUUAAAACUGUGAUGUUGCACUGUACUGGGGUUGGUGGACAGGCUUAGAAUAAAAUACAGCUCACACACAAGAAGAAAUCAAGUCUGAGCAGUUUUGGGGGCAUCAGAAGAUGGGGACAGCCUGGCUGUCCCAGUCCUGACUGUAAUCACUGCUAUAUUCUGAAUUGGGCUCAAACUUAUUACUUGUUAUAAUUUUUCACCAGAUAUGUGUAUGUUGCUUUUAUGAGGAAAUGUAUAUUAAAGAUAUUAUCCAUAACAACUGUACAAAUAAUUCUCAAUAGCUUUGUUCCUCUCACAUUUACAUUGUUACUUAUUUAAAUUCAUUUUAGGUCCCUUACACCACAAACUGAAGACAAACCUACUUGAACUAUUUAUGUUAUCAUUUGGGGCACUUAAGUUAAAUGACAUGCAGAAAAGUUACAAUGCUCAUCCAGCAUAUACAGCGUGAACUAAGGCUAGAACACAAUCUACUGAGGAUGCACGAAAGAAAAUCAAAUUAGAAUGUUUGUGUCUUGUUACGUCUUAAUUUUUCUCAAAUGGUCACAUUUUCUAUUUUUUAAAACUACUGGUGUCAGUUUAUGUAGACAUAAUAAGGAUGGGAAUAAAUAUUGUUGACUCACUUA